GUUCUGGGCCGCACGCGCGCUACACUGAUGUAUUCAACGAGUAUAUAGCCUUGGCCGACAGGCCCGGGUAAUCUUGGGAAAUUUCAUCGUGAUGGGGAUAGAGCAUUGCAAUUGUUGGUCUUCAACGAGGAAUGCCUAGUAAGCGCGAGUCAUCAGCUCGCGUUGACUACGUCCCUGCCCUUUGUACACACCGCCCGUCGCUCCUACCG
rnacentral:ncRNA from 1 species